rnacentral:rRNA from 1 species
ACGCUAGCUACAGGCUUAACACAUGCAAGUCGAGGGGAAACGGCAUUUAGUGCUUGCACUGAAUGGACGUCGACCGGCGCACGGGUGAGUAACGCGUAUCCAACCUUCCCAUUACUUUGGGAUAACCUGCCGAAAGGCAGACUAAUACCUCAUAGUCUUCGAUGACGGCAUCAGAUUUGAAGUAAAGAUUUAUCGGUAAUGGAUGGGGAUGCGUCUGAUUAGCUUGUUGGCGGGGUAACGGCCCACCAAGGCAACGAUCAGUAGGGGUUCUGAGAGGAAGGUCCCCCACAUUGGAACUGAGACACGGUCCAAACUCCUACGGGAGGCAGCAGUGAGGAAUAUUGGUCAAUGGACGUAAGUCUGAACCAGCCAAGUAGCGUGCAGGAUGACGGCCCUAUGGGUUGUAAACUGCUUUUGUAUGGGGAUAAAGUCAAUCACGUGUGAUUGUUUGCAGGUACCAUACGAAUAAGGACCGGCUAAUUCCGUGCCAGCAGCCGCGGUAAUACGGAAGGUUCGGGCGUUAUCCGGAUUUAUUGGGUUUAAAGGGAGCGUAGGCCGGAGAUUAAGUGUGUUGUGAAAUGUAGACGCUCAACGUCUGAAUUGCAGCGCAUACUGGUUUCCUUGAGUACGCACAACGUUGGCGGAAUUCGUCGUGUAGCGGUGAAAUGCUUAGAUAUGACGAAGAACUCCGAUUGCGAAGGCAGCUGACGGGAGCGCAACUGACGCUGAAGCUCGAAGGUGCGGGUAUCGAACAGGAUUAGAUACCCUGGUAGUCCGCACAGUAAACGAUGGAUGCCCGCUGUUGGUACCUAGUAUCAGCGGCUAAGCGAAAGCAUUAAGCAUCCCACCUGGGGAGUACGCCGGCAACGGUGAAACUCAAAGGAAUUGACGGGGGCCCGCACAAGCGG